GCAACGUGAGAAGGCCUUCGGCCUUGUAAAGCUCUUUUAGCGGGGAGGAAGGGGGGAGUGUUGAUACCUUUGCUCCUGAUCGUUCCGUGCCAAGAAGCACCGGCUAACUCCGUGCCAGCAGCCGCGGUAAUACUGACGGUGCAAGCGUUAA
rnacentral:rRNA from 1 species